AACGAACGCUGGCGGCAGGCUUAACACAUGCAAGUCGAGCGCCCCGCAAGGGGAGCGGCGGACGGGUGAGUAACGCGUGGGAACGUGCCCUUUUCUGCGGAAUAGCCUCGGGAAACUGAGAGUAAUACCGCAUACGCCCUUUUGGGGAAAGAUUUAUCGGAGAAGGAUCGGCCCGCGUUGGAUUAGGUAGUUGGUGGGGUAAAGGCCUACCAAGCCGACGAUCCAUAGCUGGUUUGAGAGGAUGAUCAGCCACACUGGGACUGAGACACGGCCCAGACUCCUACGGGAGGCAGCAGUGGGGAAUCUUAGACAAUGGGGGCAACCCUGAUCUAGCCAUGCCGCGUGAGUGAUGAAGGCCUUAGGGUUGUAAAGCUCUUUCAGCUGGGAAGAUAAUGACGGUACCAGCAGAAGAAGCCCCGGCUAACUCCGUGCCAGCAGCCGCCGUAA
rnacentral:rRNA from 1 species